rnacentral:lncRNA from 1 species
UUAGCUUUCGGCAUUGCCAGAUUCUGAUACUUUUGUUUGUUUGCAAGAGCAGUAUGCUUUGAAAUAUUUUUACGAAUUGUUUUGUUUGGGUGAAGUGCAACUAAUUUGAAAAUGGAUCUGAGACCACUUUUGGGAAUAAUUUCAUUUCUGCAACAAGAAGAAGAUGACGAAGAAGAAGACAUUUUAGCAAUUUUAAGCAUCAUUAAGUUCGUAACCAAAAACGGAAACACUCCGUACAGGAUGUCUUUGCUGCUAAAGUGGAUCAUGAAGAAAAGUCAGAUAAGGCUUAUUAGAGAACAACGACGCACGGAAAGAAUUGUUCUUCCAGGAUAUGCAGAAAUGGUGUUUCGUUACCGAGACAUUAAAUUUGCAGAAGAUUACUGGAUGGGUCGUGAAAAAUUCCAAGUACAUUCACUUUCAAUUAAAUAAUAGGCAAAAUGUACACUAUUUACAUAUAAAACUUUAAAGGAACUACUGCAAAUUAUUGGUCCUGCAUUGUGUGAGACUUUUAUUAAUGACGUGGAACCCGUAAAAAACAAGCUACUUUUAGGUAUUUGGGCAUUGUCAACCCGAGAAAGCUUCCGUGAAGUUGCCAAUCGUUUUGGAUAAAGAAACCGAAGUUCUGCCCAUAAUAUGUUUGUGAAAGUUUGCAGUCUAAUUUCUGACAAUUCUCAAUUUUUUAUUCAAUGGCCACAAGAAGAGAACUAUGCUCAAUUAGCUGCACAGAAUAGCUUUCCUGAUGCACUUGGAUUCUUCGAUGGCUCUUUCAUCCCACUCAUUAAACCGAAACACUCUGGAGAAAGCUAUUUUAAUCGAAAGAAGUUUUUUUCUGUCACGCUGCAAGCAGUAUGUACGGGUGACCAGCGUAUAAUUGACGUCAGUGGCGGUUACCCAUCGUCAAUGAACGAUAAACGUGUUUUUAAAUGUAGCUCGCUUGGAAGAGGUCGUCUUGAACGUCUAUUACAUGGAACAAAUUAUCAUUUACUUGGGGAUGGAGGAUAUACCUAGGGCUUUCGAAUGAUGGUUCCCUUUAGGAGAGAUCAUGAUUUGCAACAGUUUGAGAUUCGUUUUAAUGCAGCUCUUUCAAGUAACCGCCAAAUUAUCGAGCGGGUUUUCGCAAAAUUAAAAGGAAAAUUCAUGAGAUUAAAAACCUACGACGUUAAAAAUUUAGACUACUUCAACAACAUGAUCGUUGCAGCAUGUUGUUUGCACAAUUUCACUCUCGACUUGCCGUUUGAACUCGACGACGAUAGGGAGCAUCAAAAUGAACUGAACGAUGACUUUGACUUACAAGACGAAGAUGUUAAUGAGGAACUUGACGACAGGGCAAUCGAAAAAAGGAAUACUAUUGCAGCGUACUAUGCUGAGAUCCUUGAGGAAAGUGAAGGAGAAGAAGAACAACUUUCGCAUUUCAUUCAUCAUUAUUUUGAAAAAACAAAAAAUUUGUAUUUCGAAAUCAUCGACCAUUUCUGUUUAAUAAAAAACAUUAACAUGUUUCUAAGACUUCUUUUUAAACAUGUCUAUAGAAAAACCAAAUGCAAUUUUUCUUAUUUGUAAAGCACAUUACAUGAAUAACAA